GAGCCCACAGCCCCCUCAGGACCCGCGGUGAGUUUUCUAGGGGAUGUGGGGCCAUUUCCAGGCUGACAGGAGCCCCCGGCUUACUGAGGACCUGCUGUGAGGCUUCCAGAGGAUGUGAGACAUAGUCCACAAUGACAGGAGACCCGGCGUCCUCAGGACCUGCUGACUAUGACUCAGGAACACGUUGGGCCAUGUCCACACUCACAGGAGCCCGGCUCGCUUGGACCCCCUGGAGGACUCUGGAGGAGCCAUUGGGGGCCACGUCUACAUCAGAAGGGACUCCUCAGAACCACAGGGGGCCUGGGAUGGCUGGACGUGUUCGAACGCUGAACUUAAAGCGGAAAGGCCUUCAUUUUCUCAGCCUCCUUGCGUCCCAUCCCAUCUAUCUAGCUCCUUUCCCCUUCCCCGGACCUCCUGAGAGAGCAAUUGCAAAUGACCUCAGCGUGGCAGCGUGUGUUGGACAGGACCAGGGAUUUGGGAUCAGGAAGACCUGGGUUGUGUGCACCCCGGCUGUGCAGCAGGAUUCGAUGCUGCAGACUCUUAUUCCCUAAGGCUAUCUUGACAACUGACUUUUACAUAGAAAAGCUGUCCUUUAUGUUUAAAAGAUGAGGAGCGAGUCAAAGCCUUUUUUCUCUGCCCAUCUGAUUGCUCAGAUUCCAAUCUGAGAUGUAUUUCCUGUUAAUAAGGAUAAUUUACUAUCCGUAGUACUAUGGUUAAAAUAUUCUGACACACAAGUAAUUCAGAGGAAUGAGGGUUUCUCAUCUCCUUCUUCACAGCUCAGUCACUCCUCAGGAAAUGCAUCUUUAUGGAUUGAUUUGGAAAGAACUGAGAGACAUUAUUACCAAUGGUCCUAUUAUUAUGUGAAGGAUUCUUCCCUGAGAUUCUUCCCCUGUUUCAACUGACACUGAAACACUGAACUCUUUUGAAGACAAAUGUCAAGGAAAUAAAUGUUAUGCAUUGCUAAUUUUAAUUGCA
rnacentral:lncRNA from 12 species